rnacentral:rRNA from 1 species
UACGAAGGGGGCUAGCGUUGUUCGGAAUUACUGGGCGUAAAGGGCGCGUAGGCGGUUCUUCAAGUCAGGCGUGAAAGCCCCGGGCUCAACCUGGGAACCGCGCUUGAGACUGGAGAACUAGAGUUCGGGAGAGGAUGGUGGAACUACGAGUGUAGAGGUGAAAUUCGUAGAUAUUCGCAAGAACACCAGUGGCGAAGGCGGCUCACUGGUCCGGAACUGACGCUGAGGUGCGAAAGCGUGGGGAGCAAACAGG